rnacentral:rRNA from 1 species
CCUAAUACAUGCAAGUAGAACGCUGAGGUUUGGUGUUUACACUAGACUGAUGAGUUGCGAACGGGUGAGUAACGCGUAGGUAACCUGCCUCAUAGCGGGGGAUAACUAUUGGAAACGAUAGCUAAUACCGCAUAAGAGUAAUUAACACAUGUUAGUUAUUUAAAAGGAGCAAUUGCUUCACUGUGAGAUGGACCUGCGUUGUAUUAGCUAGUUGGUGAGGUAAAGGCUCACCAAGGCGACGAUACAAAGCCGACCUGAGAGGGUGAUCGGCCACACUGGGACUGAGACACGGCCCAGACUCCUACGGGAGGCAGCAGUAGGGAAUCUUCGGCAAUGGACGGAAGUCUGACCGAGCAACGCCGCGUGAGUGAAGAAGGUUUUCGGAUCGUAAAGCUCUGUUGUUAGAGAAGAACGUUGGUAGGAGUGGAAAAUCUACCAAGUGACGGUAACUAACCAGAAAGGGACGGCUAACUACGUGCCAGCAGCCGCGGUAAUACGUAGGUCCCGAGCGUUGUCCGGAUUUAUUGGGCGUAAAGCGAGCGCAGGCGGUUCUUUAAGUCUGAAGUUAAAGGCAGUGGCUUAACCAUUGUACGCUUUGGAAACUGGAGGACUUGAGUGCAGAAGGGGAGAGUGGAAUUCCAUGUGUAGCGGUGAAAUGCGUAGAUAUAUGGAGGAACACCGGUGGCGAAAGCGGCUCUCUGGUCUGUAACUGACGCUGAGGCUCGAAAGCGUGGGGAGCAAACAGGAUUAGAUACCCUGGUAGUCCACGCCGUAAACGAUGAGUGCUAGGUGUUAGGCCCUUUCCGGGGCUUAGUGCCGCAGCUAACGCAUUAAGCACUCCGCCUGGGGAGUACGACCGCAAGGUUGAAACUCAAAGGAAUUGACGGGGGCCCGCACAAGCGGUGGAGCAUGUGGUUUAAUUCGAAGCAACGCGAAGAACCUUACCAGGUCUUGACAUCCUUCUGACCGGCCUAGAGAUAGGCUUUCUCUUCGGAGCAGAAGUGACAGGUGGUGCAUGGUUGUCGUCAGCUCGUGUCGUGAGAUGUUGGGUUAAGUCCCGCAACGAGCGCAACCCCUAUUGUUAGUUGCCAUCAUUAAGUUGGGCACUCUAGCGAGACUGCCGGUAAUAAACCGGAGGAAGGUGGGGAUGACGUCAAAUCAUCAUGCCCCUUAUGACCUGGGCUACACACGUGCUACAAUGGUUGGUACAACGAGUCGCAAGUCGGUGACGGCAAGCGAAUCUCUUAAAGCCAAUCUCAGUUCGGAUUGUAGGCUGCAACUCGCCUACAUGAAGUCGGAAUCGCUAGUAAUCGCGGAUCAGCACGCCGCGGUGAAUACGUUCCCGGGCCUUGUACACACCGCCCGUCACACCACGAGAGUUUGUAACACCCGAAGUCGGUGAGGUAACCUUUUAGGAGCCAGCCGCCUAAGGUGGGAUAGAUGAUUGGGGUGAAGUCGUAACAAGGUAGCCGUAUCGGAAGGUGCGGCUGGAUCACCUCCUUUCUAAGGAUAAGGAAACCUGCCAUUUGCGUCUUGUUUAGUUUUGAGAGGUCUUGUGGGGCCUUAGCUCAGCUGGGAGAGCGCCUGCUUUGCACGCAGGAGGUCAGCGGUUCGAUCCCGCUAGGCUCCAUUGAAUCGAAAGAUUCAAAUUGUUCAUUGAAAAUUGAAUAUCUAUAUCAAAUUCCACGAUCUAGAAAUAGAUUGUAGAAAGUAACAAGAAAAUAAACCGAAAACGCUGUGAAUAUUUAAUGAGUUUUCUAGUUUUAAAGAAACUAGGUUAAUAAGGUUAAGUUAAUAAGGGCGCACGGUGGAUGCCUUGGCACUAGAAGCCGAAGAAGGACGUGACUAACGACGAAAUGCUUUGGGGAGCUGUAAGUAAGCGCUGAUCCAGAGAUGUCCGAAUGGGGGAACCCACUAGUUAAUGACUAGUAUCCAUAUCUGUUAAGGAUAUGAGAAGGAAGACGCAGUGAACUGAAACAUCUAAGUAGCUGCAGGAAGAGAAAGCAAAAGCGAUUGCCUUAGUAGCGGCGAGCGAAACGGCAGGAGGGCAAACCGAAGUGUAAACACUUCGGGGUUGUAGGACUGCGAUAUAGGAUUAAUCAUUAUAGAAGAAUUACCUGGGAAGGUAAGCCAAAGAGAGUAACAGCCUCGUAUUUAAAAUGAUAGAUUAACCUUAGCAGUAUCCUGAGUACGGCGAGACACGCGAAAUCUCGUCGGAAUCUGGGAGGACCAUCUCCCAACCCUAAAUACUCUCUAGUGACCGAUAGUGAACCAGUACCGUGAGGGAAAGGUGAAAAGCACCCCGGGAGGGGAGUGAAAUAGAACCUGAAACCGUGUGCCUACAACAAGUUCGAGCCCGUUAAUGGGUGAGAGCGUGCCUUUUGUAGAAUGAACCGGCGAGUUACGAUAUGAUGCGAGGUUAAGUUGAAGAGACGGAGCCGUAGGGAAACCGAGUCUUAAUAGGGCGCCAUAGUAUCAUGUUGUAGACCCGAAACCAUGUGACCUACCCAUGAGCAGGUUGAAGGUGAGGUAAAACUCACUGGAGGACCGAACCAGGGCACGUUGAAAAGUGCUUGGAUGACUUGUGGGUAGCGGAGAAAUUCCAAACGAACUUGGAGAUAGCUGGUUCUCUCCGAAAUAGCUUUAGGGCUAGCGUCGAUGUUAAGUCUCUUGGAGGUAGAGCACUGUUUGGGUGAGGGGUCCAUCCCGGAUUACCAAUCUCAGAUAAACUCCGAAUGCCAACGAGAUAUAAUCGGCAGUCAGACUGCGAGUGCUAAGAUCCGUAGUCGAAAGGGAAACAGCCCAGACCACCAGCUAAGGUCCCAAAAUAUAUGUUAAGUGGAAAAGGAUGUGGGGUUGCACAGACAACUAGGAUGUUAGCUUAGAAGCAGCUAUUCAUUCAAAGAGUGCGUAAUAGCUCACUAGUCGAGUGACCCUGCGCCGAAAAUGUACCGGGGCUAAAACAUAUUACCGAAGCUGUGGAUGACACAAAAGUGUCAUGGUAGGAGAGCGUUCUAUGUGUGAAGAAGGUGUACCGUGAGGAGCGCUGGAACGCAUAGAAGUGAGAAUGCCGGUAUGAGUAGCGCAAGACAGGUGAGAAUCCUGUCCACCGUAAGACUAAGGUUUCCAGGGGAAGGCUCGUCCGCCCUGGGUUAGUCGGGACCUAAGGAGAGACCGAAAGGUGUAUCCGAUGGACAACAGGUUGAUAUUCCUGUACUAGAGUAUAUAGUGAUGGAGGGACGCAGUAGGCUAACUAAACCAGACGAUUGGAAGUGUCUGGUCAAACAGUGAGGUGUGAUAUGAGUCAAAUGCUUAUAUCUUUAACAUUGAGCUGUGACGAGGAGCGAAGUUUAGUAGCGAAGUUAGUGAUGUCACACUGCCAAGAAAAGCUUCUAGCGAUACAUAUACUCUACCCGUACCGCAAACCGACACAGGUAGUCGAGGCGAGUAGCCUCAGGUGAGCGAGAGA